rnacentral:rRNA from 1 species
AUUGAACGCUGGCGGCAGGCCUAACACAUGCAAGUCGAGCGGUAGAGAGAAGCUUGCUUCUCUUGAGAGCGGCGGACGGGUGAGUAAUGCCUAGGAAUCUGCCUGGUAGUGGGGGAUAACGCUCGGAAACGGACGCUAAUACCGCAUACGUCUACGGGAGAAAGCAGGGGACCUUCGGGCCUUGCGCUAUCAGAUGAGCCUAGGUCGGAUUAGCUAGUUGGUGAGGUAAUGGCUCACCAAGGCGACGAUCCGUAACUGGUCUGAGAGGAUGAUCAGUCACACUGGAACUGAGACACGGUCCAGACUCCUACGGGAGGCAGCAGUGGGGAAUAUUGGACAAUGGGCGAAAGCCUGAUCCAGCCAUGCCGCGUGUGUGAAGAAGGUCUUCGGAUUGUAAAGCACUUUAAGUUGGGAGGAAGGGCAUUAACCUAAUACGUUGGUGUCUUGACGUUACCGACAGAAUAAGCACCGGCUAACUCUGUGC